rnacentral:rRNA from 1 species
UACGUAGGGGGCAAGCGUUGUCCGGAAUCAUUGGGCGUAAAGAGCGUGUAGGCGGCCCGGUAAGUCCGCUGUGAAAGUCCAGGGCUCAACCCUGGGAUGCCGGUGGAUACUGUCGGGCUCGAGUCCGGAAGAGGAGUGUGGAAUUCCUGGUGUAGCGGUGAAAUGCGCAGAUAUCAGGAAGAACACCCGUGGCGAAGGCGGCUCUCUGGAACGCAACUGACGCUGAGACGCGAAAGCGUGGGGAGCAAACAGG